rnacentral:lncRNA from 7 species
GCGUUUCAGCAGUGGCAGCAGUGACAGUGGGGCACCUCUGCUGGUGCAUAUCCUGACAGGUUGAACUACAGGAAAUUAGAUGUUGGAGUGACAGAUGCCUUUCCCCGCCGCAAAAUCAGCUGAGGAAUUGGAUUUUGCUGCCCCAAGUGGUGCAGAAGCUUAUUAUCAAAAUUUUGAGAACAUGAAGAAGAAGGUGUCAGACAGCACAGAGGUGAAUCUGAACAACUUGCCCAGUGUCACUCACCACACUGAACACAUCGUGCCUGAUUUGCAGCACACACAGGAAACCAUAGAAUAAUUUGGGAAGUGCUGCAGAACUGCUCUGUGCAAAACUGGUUUGAAGUGAGAAAGUGCUCACUGGCUUCAAUAGAAUGUGAAGCUCCUAUCCUAAGGAUCAGAUCUUCAACUUUUCGUGUUUUGAAGAUGACCACUUUAUUAUAAGUAAUAGAAGUGCUGAAAGUCUUACCUAUGAAGUCCUGGGAGUAGGAACAUUUCCAUUGCUUACAAUUAGGUCAGCUAAUUGCCAUUUUUUUCACCAUUCUAAACAAAUAAAUGAAAGAUCAUC